rnacentral:misc_RNA from 1 species
AAGUCGUAACAAGGUUUCCGUAGGUGAACCUGCGGAAGGAUCAUUAUUGAAUUUUCAUUCAAUUACGUAUGUGAACCAGCCGAACCACAAGCUGUGUGCAGUCCUUCGGCUUUAAUGCCCUAGUCUGUAACUGAGUGGGUAGGCCCAACCACUGACGGCUCAAAACCACUGACGGACUUUCAGCCGUCAGUUUUUUACUAACCCUGUAAUCAUUGACUGUGACUGAAACAUCUUUAAUCAUUAAAGACAACUUUUAGCAAUGGAUCUCUAGGCUCUC